ACGAAUCAGAAUAAGCCAAGUGUACAAAGACCCAGAAUUCGUGGUCAUAUCCAUGAACCAAAUAUUCUAAGAUGCCAAUCUAAGCAAAUGCAAGCCACAAAUCAAUUCCCUCGUGGCCUCCUCAACUCCUCUCGCAAAGGCUUCCCAGUUAACCAGUUUCCCUGGAAACUUUCUCUUCUCUUCCCCUCCUAAUCAUCACUCGUUCAACUUUCAUCACGAAUCCUUAAACUCAGCUUCCCUCAUUUCUUUUCAAACAUUCUUAAACACAAGAGGCAGACAUGGCAAAAUUCACUCUGAGAUUAGAUAAUAACUUUUGUUUUCUUUCUCACAACACCAGCACUUCUCAUAGUUCAAUCCUUUUAAACAGAACUUCGCGCAAAAAUUUUCAAUUGCGGUUAAGUCCUUCAAAGUCUCAGUUGAAGUUCAAAGUUUUAUGUAGUAUUAAGGAGAAAGAGAAUGUUAAAGAUGAGAGGGAAAAGAUUGGUGCUAACGUUGGGGAGUUAGUCAAUGGUGUACAUGUCGAGGAGCUGGACAGAAAAGCGGGUUUGGGUCAGGAAAGUGGGUCAAGUAAAGUGGGUUUUGAUUUGGUUUGGCCUCCUUGGAAGAAUAUUCCUCAGAGAUAUAAGCUUAUUGGUACCACUUCGCUUGCCUUCGUUAUUUGUAACAUGGAUAAGGUGAACUUGAGUGUUGCUAUAAUUCCAAUGUCACAUCAGUUUGGGUGGAAUCCAUCAGUAGCUGGAUUAGUGCAAUCAUCAUUCUUCUGGGGUUAUGCAUUGAGUCAAUUGCCGGGAGGUUGGCUUGCGAAGCUUUUUGGUGGAAGAAAAGUUCUUGAGAUUGGAGUAUUGGCUUGGUCCUUGGCUACGGCCCUUGUUCCUGUUCUUGCUGGAUUCAUGCCUGGACUGCUCUUGUCAAGGAUUUUGGUUGGGAUAGGAGAAGGUGUUUCACCAUCAUCUGCAACAGACCUUAUCGCCAGGUCAAUACCUUUGGAAGAGCGCUCCAGGGCUGUAUCAUUUGUCUUUGGUGGGUUGAGUGUAGGAAGUGUUACAGGGCUUCUUUUGGCUCCUCCGCUCAUCCAAAAUUUUAGUUGGGAAUCUGUAUUUUAUAUAUUUGGCUUUCUGGGGAUAGGCUGGUAUUUGGGAUUUCGUUUUCUUGGAGAAGGACGAGCUUUAGAUGCAGUUGAACAUGUUGCUUUAUUGCGAUCUGCUGGUCAGAACAAGUCAUGGAAUGAUUCUCUAGAAGAAUCAGUUGAUCUGAAGAAUUCAUGGAAUAAUACUCUAGAAGAGUUGCGUGCCUCGUUGAGGGAUGUACCGUGGAAGGCAUUUUUCCAAAGUCCAGCUGUAUGGGCAAUGAUAUAUGCUCAUUUUUGCGGAAGUUGGGGUCAUUAUACUUGUCUAUCUUGGCUUCCUACCUUUUUUAGUGAGGAGCUGAACCUAAAUUUGACAGAAGCUGCAUGGGUUUCCAUCCUUCCUCCCCUGGCUUCAGUUUUUGUAACAAAUAUAGCUGCACAAUUUGCCGAUAACUUAAUUGCCAAUGGAGUUGAGACCACUAUGGUGCGAAAGAUUUGCCAAACAAUUUCGUUUUUGUCUCCUGCAACCUGCAUGAUUCUAUCUUCUCUAGAUCUAGGACUGCAACCAUGGGAAAUUGUGGGGAUCCUCACCAGUGGACUAGCUCUCUCCAGCUUUGCCUUGUCAGGGCUUUAUUGUACGCAUCAGGAUAUUUCACCUGAAUAUGCAAGUAUACUUUUGGGUAUUACCAACACUGUCGGAGCAGUGCCUGGAAUUGUAGGUGUUGCGCUUACUGGUUUUCUACUUGAUUCAACUCAUUCAUGGAGUAUGUCUUUAUUUGCACCGUCCAUAUUCUUCUACUUAACUGGUACCAUUGUAUGGUUGGCAUUCGCUAGCAGUAAGCCUCAAAGCUUUUCGGAGAGUGAUUGACUUUGUUUCUGUGCUUUUCUAUGGGUUUUCCUGAUUGAAGCAUCCAAACUGAUAGACACCGUGUUUGAGUUCCCUCUAGCAUUAUAUCUCGCAAGCAGGGAUAAUAAUAUCUGGCAUGUGAAUGAACACAAUAGAUAAAGGAGCAACCAUUAUUGGUUUUGGUGAAUUUACAGGUAACGGCUCCAAAGGAGGUAAAAACACAUAGAAAUCAAUCACAGAGAAAUGGCCAAGUUUCCAGAAAUCAAGUAAUUGUCACUGUACCAGAAACUGAAC